rnacentral:rRNA from 1 species
AUUGAACGCUGGCGGCACGCCUAACACAUGCAAGUCGAGCGGCAGCGAGGUGAGUAGCGAUACUGACUGUCGGCGAGCGGCGGACGGGUAACACGUAGGAACUUGCCCAGUAGAGGGGGAUAACCAAUGGAAACGUUGGCUAAUACCGCAUGAACUCGAAAGAGGAAAGCUGCUCGAAAGGGUGGCGCUAUUGGAGAGGCCUGCGUCUGAUUAGCUAGUUGGUAGGGUAAGAGCCUACCAAGGCGAUGAUCGGUAACUGGUCUGAGAGGACGACCAGUCACACUGGAACUGAGACACGGUCCAGACUCCUACGGGAGGCAGCAGUGGGGAAUAUUGGACAAUGGGCGCAAGCCUGAUCCAGCCAUGCCGCGU